GGUUGUAGCUCAGUGGUAGAACACUUGCCUAGCAUGUAUGAGGCACUGGGUUCAAUUCUCAGCACCA
rnacentral:tRNA from 1 species